rnacentral:rRNA from 1 species
GACGAAGGGGGCUAGCGUUGUUCGGAAUUACUGGGCGUAAAGCGCGUGUAGGCGGUUAUCCAAGUCGGGUGUGAAAGCCUUGAGCUCAACUCAAGAAAUGCAUUCGGUACUGGGUGACUAGAGGACCGGAGAGGAUAGUGGAAUUCCCAGUGUAGUGGUGAAAUACGUAGAGAUUGGGAAGAACACCAGUGGCGAAGGCGGCAUCCUGGACCGGUAUUGACGCUGAGGCGCGAAAGCCAGGGGAGCAAACGGG